rnacentral:rRNA from 1 species
AUUGACCUCGGAUCAGGUAGGGAUACCCGCUGAACUUAAGCAUAUCAAUAAGCGGAGGAAAAGAAACCAACAGGGAUUGCCUCAGUAACGGCGAGUGAAGCGGCAACAGCUCAAAUUUGAAAUCUGGCCUCCUCGGGGUCCGAGUUGUAAUUUGUAGAGGGUGUUUCGGGCGACGCGCCGGCCUAAGUUCCUUGGAACAGGACGUCAUAGAGGGUGAGAAUCCCGUAUGCGGCCGGCGACCGAGUUCAUGUGAAACCCCUUCGACGAGUCGAGUUGUUUGGGAAUGCAGCUCUAAAUGGGUGGUAAAUUUCAUCUAAAGCUAAAUACCGGCCAGAGACCGAUAGCGCACAAGUAGAGUGAUCGAAAGAUGAAAAGCACUUUGGAAAGAGAGUUAAAAAGUACGUGAAAUUGUUGAAAGGGAAGCGCUUGCAACCAGACCUGUGUUCGGGUGAUCAACCGUCCUGUAAGGGCGGUGCACUCGCCCGCGACAGGCCAGCAUCGGUUCGGGCGGCUGGAUAAAGGCCUUGGGAACGUAGCUCCCCUCGGGGAGUGUUAUAGCCCAAGGUGCAAUGCGGCCAGCCUGGACCGAGGACCGCGCUUCGGCUAGGAUGCUGGCGUAAUGGUUGUAAGCGGCCCGUCUUGAAACACGGACCAAGGAGUCUAACAUCUAUGCGAGUGUUUGGGUGUCAAACCCAUGCGCGUAAUGAAAGUGAACGGAGGUGAGAACCCUGAAGGGCGCAUCAUCGACCGAUCCAGAUGUCUUCGGAUGGAUUUGAGUAAGAGCAUAGCUGUUGGGACCCGAAAGAUGGUGAACUAUGCCUGAAUAGGGUGAAGCCAGAGGAAACUCUGGUGGAGGCUCGCAGCGGUUCUGACGUGCAAAUCGAUCGUCAAAUUUGGGUAUAGGGGCGAAAGACUAAUCGAACC